rnacentral:rRNA from 1 species
UACGGAGGGAGCUAGCGUUGUUCGGAAUUACUGGGCGUAAAGCGCACGUAGGCGGCUUUUUAAGUCAGGGGUGAAAUCCCGGGGCUCAACCCCGGAACUGCCUUUGAUACUGGUAUCUGGAGGUCGAGAGAGGCGAGUGGAAUUCCGAGUGUAGAGGUGAAAUUCGUAGAUAUUCGGAGGAACACCAGUGGCGAAGGCGGCUCGCUGGCUCGAUACUGACGCUGAGGUGCGAAAGCGUGGGGAGCAAACAGG